rnacentral:lncRNA from 1 species
AUGUGGAGUUGUGGGCACUGGAAAUCUAAGGAGAGGUUCCUAGAUUCUCACCUCCACAAACCAGUGCCUAUAGGGAGCAGCCUCUUGCUGACCUCCAGCUGCAAAAACACCAAGGCACAGCCCCCUGGGUUUGCAAAUGCUAGCAUUACAGCCAGCAACCUUGGGCCUGAGGAGCAGGGCAUGAGGAAGAGUGCCUGGACAGCCCACAGGCUCUGGAACUCUGCUGCAUCUCAUCUCUGGUCAGUAACCUCCUCCUUCCUUUGCAGCAGUAUGUGCCAUCACACACAGCUUUAGGGGGUCAAGGGCAUUUACAUUUUAAAAUCAUUUAUCAAAUUAAUAUCUAGAAAGUAUUUACUAAUGUUUUUUCUCAAAAUCAGGUAUUUUUAAAAUCAUUUUUGCCAC